rnacentral:rRNA from 1 species
UGGGGAAUAUUGGGCAAUGGACGCAAGUCUGACCCAGCGACGCCGCGUGCGGGAUGAAGGCCUUCGGGUUGUAAACCGCUUUCAGCAGGGAAGAAGCGAAAGUGACGGUACCUGCAAAAGAAGCACCGGCUAACUAUGUGCCAGCAGCCGCGGUAAUACAUAGGGUGCAAGCGUUAAUCGGAAUUACUGGGCGUAAAGCGUGCGCAGGCGGUUAUAUAAGACAGAUGUGAAAUCCCCGGGCUCAACCUGGGACCUGCAUUUGUGACUGUAUAGCUAGAGUACGGUAGAGGGGGAUGGAAUUCCGCGUGUAGCAGUGAAAUGCGUAGAUAUGCGGAGGAACACCAGUGGCGAAGGCGGCCACCUGGACAGUAACUGACGCUGAGGCGCGAAAGUGUGGGUAGCAAACAGG